UGUUACAAUGUACGUCCAAGCGCCAAGAAUAUGCCCUAAUAUGAUAUAUAUUUUGAAGCUCAUAUUAAUUAUAAAAUAAAUGAGAUGAAUAUUAUUUAAAAACAUAUUCAUCACUCUAAUACACCUGUAAUUUUCAAAGACUUAUUCCCCUAGUCCACCUAUGUACAGUGUGUACGGAAUUUAGAGUAAUCAAGAAAAAAGUUAAGACAUAGUUUAUUUUUGAAAUUAUGACAUUUCAAACACUGUACAAAUAAUUUAAAUUUAAUUCUCUGUAACAUAUAAUAAUUUCAUCCAUGAUGGUCACCUAAAUCCUUCACAGUUUCCGUCAGACAGCGACGAAAGUCCUUCACGAAUAACUUCAUGUCCGAUUUGGUGCAUCCCUUAACCAGUGAAGCCUUCAGGCUCACGAAAUUCUUAUGAGGCUUUCCACAUUCCUUUGUCUCAAGAAUGGGCUAAAGGCAUACUCUGUAAGAUUCAAAUAAGGGGAGUUUGGACGUCAUUCUUUGACUAAAAGUUUGGAAAAUUCCCUGUGAGCUUGUCUUGUGUGCUCUUGUUGGUAUUUGAGGGGUCUCCGUCUUCUGGGAAGAUUCAAGGUUCGUUCCCAAACUCGUGCUCGGCCCAGGGCUUCGUUGAGCAUUGGAAACGUGCUCCAGACACAGGUUUUUGGGAUCCGUAGAGACAUUUGGCAUCAUUUUUCCAAUCCUAGCUCCAUACACAGUUAUUCUGGAUGUUGAAGGCCAUUUCCACGUGAAAUUCUUUUCGUCCAUGAAAACAGCGUGGAGUUCGAUUGAACCUUUAUAUCAUUGUGACCUCAAAAAGCAUUUGGUAGCGCUAUAACCAUCAAAUUCUUCCUCAAAAGCUUUAUACUGUGCUUCUUCACCUAGGUUCGGAUGCACCUCUUGUCAAUCCUUCGUAUCUUCUCUCUCACAGCCUUGAUGCCAUUUAGCACCCUUUUAGAUCAUGCCGACCCUUACCAGGAGCAUUUGGAAUCUUCAUGUCAGUUAAAACUUCUUCCAGAUCCUACAAAUUUUUACUUUGCUAGCUUUAAUGAACUUUGAAAUGACAAUGGGUUUUUCCAUCUUGAAUUAA
rnacentral:lncRNA from 1 species